rnacentral:rRNA from 1 species
UGCUAAUCUGCGAUAAGCGCCGGUAAGGUGAUAUGAACCGUUAUAACCGGCGAUACCCGAAUGGGGAAACCCAGUGUGACUCGUCACACUAUCAUUAACUGAAUCCAUAGGUUAAUGAGGCGAACCGGGGGAACUGAAACAUCUAAGUACCCCGAGGAAAAGAAAUCAACCGAGAUUCCCCCAGUAGCGGCGAGCGAACGGGGAGGAGCCCAGAGCCUGAAUCAGCAUGUGUGUUAGUGGAAGCGUCUGGAAAGGCGCGCGAUACAGGGUGACAGCCCCGUACACAAAAGCGCAUGUGCUGUGAGCUCGAUGAGUAGGGCGGGACACGUGGUAUCCUGUCUGAAUAUGGGGGGACCAUCCUCCAAGGCUAAAUACUCCUGACUGACCGAUAGUGAACCAGUACCGUGAGGGAAAGGCGAAAAGAACCCCGGCGAGGGGAGUGAAAAAGAACCUGAAACCGUGUACGUACAA